AGUGAACGCUGGCGGCAGGCCUAAUACAUGCAAGUCGAACGGCAGCACGGCAGAGCUUGCUCUGUGGGUGGCGAGUGGCGGACGGGUGAGGAAUACAUGGGAAUCUGCCCAGUCGUGGGGGAUAACGUAGGGAAACUUACGCUAAUACCGCAUGCGCCCUUCGGGGGAAAGCCGGGGACCUUCGGGCCUGGCGCGAUUGGAUGAGCCCAUGUCGGAUUAGCUAGUUGGCGGGGUAAUGGCCCACCAAGGCGACGAUCCGUAGCUGGUCUGAGAGGAUGAUCAGCCACACUGGAACUGAGACACGGUCCAGACUCCUACGGGAGCAGCAGUAGGGAAUAUUGGACAAUGGGCGCAAGCCUGAUCCAGCCAUGCCGCGUGAGUGAAGAAGGCCCUCGGGUUGUAAAGCUCUUUUGUCCGGAAAGAAAAGCGCCGGGUUAAUACCCUGGUGUCCUGACGGUACCGGAAGAAUAAGCACCGGCUAACUUCGUGCCAGCAGCCCGG
rnacentral:rRNA from 1 species